rnacentral:rRNA from 1 species
GCUGGCGGCGUGGAUUAGGCAUGCAAGUCGAACGAGAAUCCUAGGCAUCAAGUUUUCGGACGAGAUAAUUAGGAGGAAAGUGGCGAAAGGGUGAGUAACGCGUGGGCAAUUUGCCGUCGAGUUGGGAAUAGCCCUUCGAAAGGAGGGGUAAUGCCGAAUGUGCUCGUGUCGCGCAUGCGGCACUAUGUAAAGGUAGGGACUUCGCUUCGGCGAGGCCUGCCGCUCGAUGAUGAGCCCGCGUCCCAUCAGCUUGUUGGUAGGGUAAUGGCUUACCAAGGCUUACGGGUAGCUGGUCUGAGAGGAUGGUCAGCCACACUGGGACUGAGACACUGCCCAGACUCCUACGGGAGGCUGCAGUCGAGAAUCAUUCGCAAUGCGCGAAAGCGUGACGAUGCGACGCCGCGUGCAGGAUGACGGCCUUCGGGUUGUAAACUGCUGUCAUGGGGGAACAAUGACCAGGGCGCUAAUAUCGCCAGGGUGUGAUAGUACCCGGGAGGAAGCCACGGCUAACUCUGUGCCAGCAGCCGCGGUAAUACAGAGUGGCGAGCGUUGUUCGGAUUUACUGGGCGUAAAGGGUGCGUAGGCGGCUUCGUGUGUCGGAUGUGAAAUCUCACUUUUCAUGGGUGAAAAUGCAUUCGAAACUGCGGGGCUAGAGUACAGGAGAGGAGAGCGGAAUUCACGGUGUAGCGGUGAAAUGCGUAGAUAUCGUGAGGAACAUCGGUGGCGAAGGCGGCUCUCUGGAAUGCUACUGACGCUGAGGCACGAAAGCUGGGGAGCGAACAGGAUUAGAUACCCUGGUAGUCCCAGCUGUAAACGGUGUGCACUUGGUGUGGGUUGGUUUGUCCCAAUCCGUGCCGGAGCUAACGCGUUAAGUGCACCGCCUGGGGAGUACGGUCGCAAGGCUAAAACUCAAAGGAAUUGACGGGGGCCCGCACAAGCGGUGGAGCAUGUGGCUUAAUUCGAUGCAACGCGAAGAACCUUACCAGGGCUUGACAUGUAACUGCACGCCCCGUGAAAGCGGGGUUCCUUCGAGGGUGUUACACAGGUGCUGCAUGGCUGUCGUCAGCUCGUGCCGUGAGGUGUUGGGUUAAGUCCCGCAACGAGCGCAACCCUUGUGGCUAGUUGCCACUCUUACAGAAAUGUGAGAAGCACUCUAGUCAGACUGCCUGUGACAAGCAGGAGGAAGGUGGGGAUGACGUCAAGUCCGUAUGGUCCUUAUGCCCUGGGCUGCACACGUGCUACAAUGGACGGCACAGAGGGAAGCAAAGUCGCGAGGCGGAGCAAAUCCCCAAAAUCGUCCUCAGUUCGGAUCGAAGUCUGCAACUCGACUUCGUGAAGCCGGAAUCGCUAGUAAAGGCGUAUCAGCUACGACGCCUUGAAUACGUUCCCGGGCCUUGUACACACCGCCCGUCACAUCACGAAAGCCGAUUGCACCCGAAGUCGCUGAUCUAACCCUAGCCUUGUGCUAGGGAGGAAGGUGCCGAAGGUGUGAUUGGUAAUU